ACACGACUACAUUAGAUACCCGGGUAGUCCCUAGCCGUAAACGAUACUCGCUAGGUGUCGGCCACGGUGCGACCGUUGUCGGUGCCGUAGGGAAGCCGUGAAGCGAGCCACCUGGGAAGUACGGCCGCAAGGCUGAAACUUAAAGGAAUUGGCGGGGGAGCACCACAACGGGUGGAGCUUGCGGUUUAAUUGGAUUCAACGCCGGAAAUCUUACCGGGACCGACAGCAACAUGAAGGCCAGGCUGAAGACUUUGCCGGAUUAGCUG
rnacentral:rRNA from 1 species